rnacentral:rRNA from 1 species
UACAGAGGAGCCAAGCGUUGUCCGGAUUGACUGGGCGUAAAGCGUGCGCAGGCGGUUUUGUAAGUCUGUCGUGAAAUCCCCGGGCUCAACCUGGGAAUUGCGAUGGAGACUGCAAGGCUAGAAUCUGGGCAGAGGGGGGUAGAAUUCCACGUGUGAGCAGUGAAAAUGCGUAGAGAUGUGGAGGAACACCGAUGGCGAAGGGCAGCCCC